rnacentral:rRNA from 1 species
CCCAGACUCCUACGGGAGGCAGCAGUGGGGAAUAUUGGGCAAUGGGCGCAAGCCUGACCCAGCGACGCCGCGUGAAGGAAGAAGGCUUUCGGGUUGUAAACUUCUUUUAUGAGGGACGAAACAAAUGACGGUACCGAAUGAAUAAGCCACAGCUAACUACGUGCCAGCAGCCGCGGUAAUACGUAGGUGGCAAGCGUUAUCCGGAUUUACUGGGUGUAAAGGGCGUGUAGGCGGGAGAGCAAGUCAGACGUGAAAUUCCAGGGCUCAACCCUGGAACCGCGUUUGAAACUGUUCUUCUUGAGUGAUGGAGAGGCAGGCGGAAUUCCGUGUGUAGCGGUGAAAUGCGUAGAUAUACGGAGGAACACCAGUGGCGAAGGCGGCCUGCUGGACAUUAACUGACGCUGAGGCGCGAAAGCGUGGGGAGCAAACAGGAUUAGAUACCCCGGUAUG